GUGCCAGCCGCCGCGGUAAUACGGAGGGUGCAAGCGUUGUUCGGAAUUAUUGGGCGUAAAGGGCGCGCAGGCGGUCUGUUAAGUCCGAUGUGAAAGCCCCGGGCUCAACCCGGGAAGUGCAUUGGAAACUGGCAGACUUGAGUACGGGAGAGGGAAGUGGAAUUCCGCAUGUAGGGGUGAAAUCCGUAGAUAUGCGGAGGAACACCGGUGGCGAAGGCGGCUUCCUGGACCGAUACUGACGCUGAGGCGCGAAAGCGUGGGGAGCAAACAGGAUUAGAUACCCCUGUAGUCC
rnacentral:rRNA from 1 species